rnacentral:rRNA from 1 species
UACAGAGGUCUCAAGCGUUGUUCGGAUUCAUUGGGCGUAAAGGGUGCGUAGGUGGCGCGGUAAGUCGGGUGUGAAAUCUCGGAGCUUAACUCCGAAAUUGCAUUCGAUACUGCCGUGCUUGAGGACUGGAGAGGAGACUGGAAUUCCGGGUGGAGCGGUGAAAUGCGUAGAGAUCCGGAGGAACACCGACGGCGUAGGCAGCGCCCUGGCCGUUUCCUGACGCUGAUGCACGAAAGCUGGGGGAGCAAACAGG